CGCGAAGCGUUGUAAUAAAAGUUUAGUUUUAAAGUAUAUCACGUCAACCUCCAGUGUUAUUUUGUGGUCGUAAAUAGUUACAUUUAAAACAUAUCACACAACCACAGAUGAUGAUUUCGGUCAAAGUAGAUGUUUUUGGUCAAAGUUGGUGGAAACUGGAAGUUUGCAACCAAAGAUGAUGAUCUCGGUCAGAGUUGAUGUUUUUGGUCAAAGUUGGUGGAAACUGGAAGUUUGCGACCAAAGUUGAUGUUUUCGGUCAAAGUAGAUGUUUUUGGUCAAAGUUGGUGGAAACUGGAAGUUUGCAACCAAAGAUGAUGUUUUCGGUCAAAGUAGAUGUUUUUGGUCAAAGUUGGUGGAAACCGGAAGUUUGCAACCAAAGAUGAUGAUUUCGGUCAAAGUAGAUGUUUUUGGUCAAAGUUGGUGGAAACUGGAUGUUUGCGACCAAAGAUGAUGUUUUCAGUCAAAGUAGAUGCUUUUGGUCAAAGUUGGUGGAAACUGGAAGUUUGCAACCAAAGAUGAUGAUUUCGGUCAAAGUAGAUGUUUUUGGUCAAAGUUGGUGGAAACUGGAAGUUUGCGACCAAAGAUGAUGUUUUCGGUCAAAGUAGAUGUUUUUGGUCAAAGUUGGUGGAAACUGGAAGUUUGCAAAGAAAGAUGAUGUUUUCGGUCAAAGUAGAUGUUUUUGGUCAAAGUUGGUGGAAACUGGAAGUUUGCGACCAAAGUUGAUGAUUUCGGUCAAAGUAGAUGUUUUUGGUCAAAGUUGGUGGAAACUGGAAGUUUGCAACCAAAGAUGAUGAUUUCGGUCAAAGUUGAUGUUUUUGGUCAAAGUUGGUGGAAACUGGAAGUUUGCAACCAAAGAUGAUGAUUUCGGUCGAAGUUGAUGUUUUUGGUCAAAAUUGGUGGAAACUGGAAGUUUGCAACCAAAGAUGAUGAUUUCGGUCAAAGUAGAUGUUUUUGGUCAAAGUUGGUGGAAACUGGAAGUUUGCAAAAAAAGAUGAUGAUUUCGGUCAAAGUUGAUGUUUUUGGUCAAAGUUGGUGGAAACUGGAAGUUUGC